UAGGGAAUUUUCGUCAAUGGGCGCAAGCCUGAACGAGCGAUGCCGCGUGAGUGAAGAAGGCCUUCGGUCGUAAAGCUCUGUUGCGGGGGAAAAAAGGCAGCAUCAGGAAAUGGGUGCUGACUGAUGGUGCCCCGCAGAAAGUCACGGCUAACUACGUGCC
rnacentral:rRNA from 1 species